rnacentral:rRNA from 1 species
GACGAACGCUGGCGGCGUGCUUAACACAUGCAAGUCGAACGGAAAGGCCCUGCUUUUGUGGGGUGCUCGUGUGCGGAACGGGUGAGUAACACGCGAGUAAACUGCCCUUGACUGUGGGAUAUAUCCAGGAAACUGGGGUGAAUACAGGAUAGGAGCUCCUGCUGCACGUUGUGGGAUGGUAAGAUUCGGCGGUUGGGGAUGCUAUAGCGGGUUAUCAGCGUGUUGGUGGGGUAGGGUAUGAUCAUGGCUUUGAAGGGUAGCCGGCCUGAGAGGGUGACCGGCCACAUUGGGACUGAGAGACAGCCCAGACUCCUACGGGGGGCAGCAGGGGGGAAUAUUGCAGAAUGGGCGGAAGCCUGAUGCAGCAACGCCGCGUGCGGGAUGACGGCCUUCGGGUUGUAAACCGCUUGCGCCUGUGACGAAGCGUGAGUGACGGUAAUGGGUAAAGAAGCACCGGCUAACUACGUG